UCCAAUUGUUUGUGGAUCUACA
rnacentral:siRNA from 1 species